rnacentral:rRNA from 1 species
AACGAACGCUGGCGGCAUGCCUAACACAUGCAAGUCGAACGAAGGCUUCGGCCUUAGUGGCGCACGGGUGCGUAACGCGUGGGAAUCUGCCCCUCGGUUCGGAAUAACAGUUAGAAAUGACUGCUAAUACCGGAUGAUGACUUCGGUCCAAAGAUUUAUCGCCGAGGGAUGAGCCCGCGUAGGAUUAGGUAGUUGGUGGGGUAAAGGCCUACCAAGCCGACGAUCCUUAGCUGGUCUGAGAGGAUGAUCAGCCACACUGGGACUGAGACACGGCCCAGACUCCUACGGGAGGCAGCAGUGGGGAAUAUUGGACAAUGGGCGCAAGCCUGAUCCAGCAAUGCCGCGUGAGUGAUGAAGGCCUUAGGGUUGUAAAGCUCUUUUACCCGGGAUGAUAAUGACAGUACCGGGAGAAUAAGCUCCGGCUAACUCCGUGCCAGCCGCCGCCGUAACAC